UACGAAGGGGGGCUAGCGUUGCUCGGAAUCACUGGGCGUAAAGCGCACGUAGGCGGCUUUCUAAGUCAGGGGUGAAAUCCUGGAGCUCAACUCCAGAACUGCCUUUGAUACUGGGAGCUCGAGUCCGGAAGAGGUGAGUGGAACUCCGAGUGUAGAGGUGAAAUUCGUAGAUAUUCGGAAGAACACCAGUGGCGAAGGCGGCUCACUGGUCCGGUACUGACGCUGAGGUGCGAAAGCGUGGGGAGCAAACAGG
rnacentral:rRNA from 1 species